ACACAUGCAGUCGAACGAUGAAGGAGGAGCUUGCUCCUCUGGAUUAGUGGCGAACGGGUGAGUAACACGUGAGCAAUCUGCCCCUGACUCUGGGAUAAGCGCUGGAAACGGCGUCUAAUACCGGAUACGAGCCGAGCAGGCAUCUGCAGCGGCUGGAAAGAACUUCGGUCAGGGAUGAGCUCGCGGCCUAUCAGCUAGUUGGUGAGGUAANGGCUCACCAAGGCGACGACGGGUAGCCGGCCUGAGAGGGUGACCGGCCACACUGGGACUGAGACACGGCCCAGACUCCUACGGGAGGCAGCAGUGGGGAAUAUUGCACAAUGGGCGAAAGCCUGAUGCAGCAACGCCGCGUGAGGGACGAAGGCCUUCGGGUUGUAAACCUCUUUUAGCAGGGAAGAAGCGAAAGUGACGGUACCUGCAGAAAAAGCACCGGCUAACUACGUGCCAGCAGCCGCGGUAAUACGUAGGGUGCGAGCGUUAUCCGGAAUUAUUGGGCGUAAAGAGCUCGUAGGCGGUCUGUCGCGUCUGCUGUGAAAUCCCGAGGCUCAACCUCGGGCUUGCAGUGGGUACGGGCAGACUAGAGUGCGGUAGGGGAGAUUGGAAUUCCUGGUGUAGCGGUGGAAUGCGCAGAUAUCAGGAGGAACACCGAUGGCGAAGGCAGAUCUCUGGGCCGUUACUGACGCUGAGGAGCGAAAGCGUGGGGAGCAAACAGGCUUA
rnacentral:rRNA from 1 species